rnacentral:lncRNA from 1 species
CUGAUCUCCAGACCAGGAUGGAAGCCCGGCGAGGGGUCAGAAGUGGUCAGAGCCUGAAAAAAGAGGCAUCCAUGUCUUCACUGGCAACCUUGCAAUAGUGGACCAAAGUAAUUGAAGACGACCCACCGGAAUCAACUCUCCCAAGUGCAGCACAGCCCACUUACCAGCUUCAAAGGAAUGCCAAGCAGUUAGUGAAACGCAAAGUGUCAAAUCUUCGGGGGGGGGGGGCCUUCCAAGGUAUUUGCUAGAUCCAAAGUGAGGCUCUGCUCCCAGGAAAAAGUCUUGCAUUGACAGGGAACAAAUAUUUGUGUGAUGGACCAGUUAUUAUAGAUAAC